AGGAGUACAGCUCAGUGGUAGAGCAUCCAUGGAGCAGAAGGCUCCAGGUUCAAUCCCUGGUGUCCUCA